ACUCGAGCGCCAGCGAGAGAACGUUGCCGCAGGCAAUGGUCCGAAGGGCGAGGAGCGAUAGCGACGAGUUAUCCUUCCCCCUCUAUUC
rnacentral:sRNA from 1 species